rnacentral:lncRNA from 1 species
UUAUAAGAGAAGAAUCUAUCUGAUUAGUCUAGGCUUGGUAUCUUUUUUGGAUAACAGAUGCCUUAAGGCUGCGUGAUCAGAGUAAACUAGGAUCUUUGAGCCUAAAAGAUAUGAUCUAAACUUGUCUAAGGCAAACACAACUGCAAGUAAUCAGUAGUCGUGUAAUUCAAUUGUGCAUUAGAAAGAGUUUUGCUUGCAUAAUAAAUCACAUGAGAUUUUCUAUUUAUCCUUUGCCCCA